rnacentral:misc_RNA from 1 species
GAGGAAUGCUGGGAGGUGGCGGUAGGGCUCGCUGCGGCGGGUAUGGAGGAAGAAGGAGAGGGAUGCGGCGGCGAUCUUGUCCAUGUCGCCGAGGUAGCAGCGGAGGCCGUCGGAGCGGCCGUGGCCGAGGAGGUCGGCAGCGAAGACGGCGUAGCCCCAGGAGGCGUAGGAGAGGCAGAUCUUUUGGAACAUCCAGCCGGUGUCGGAGCCGUAGCCGUGAGUCAUGUAGACGGUGCCUUUGAGCUCCGGUGAGUCGAGAGGGAUGAAGCUC